UUAAUUAAGACUAAAGAUUUUUUAAUUGCAAAAAUAAAUAAUAAAGUCUAUUUAGUUAAA
rnacentral:tRNA from 1 species